ensembl:processed_transcript
AAGCUCUUCUCUAGUUUCCAGACAUAUAGCGCACUAGGGCCUGGGAGGCUGGACCUUCCAACACUGCAGGCAGUGAUAGACAACUUACGAUCAAGUAAAAAAGAUUCGGGGGAGAAGUUUCUCUGUGGAAACGAGAAAGAUUCCACAGAGGAGCAACAACAGUAUCAAAAAGUCACCACCAACAAAAAGAAAAAA